CUGCAGUAAGAGCUACGACGCUAAUAUUAUGUAACCUCCUCACAGUUGUGUUCUGGACUAAUGCCCCAUUUCGUGGACCCAAGAUCAAUAGAUGUGAACAUUUCAUGAACCCAAGAUAUAUAGGAAUACGUGGGUGACGUCAGUGCUAUCACUAUGUACUGGUUUUAAUGUGUAUGGUUCCAACCCUGUAAACGUCAAACCUGAGACUGGUGUGUUGUUGGAGCUGGGUCAGAUCUAUGAAGGACAGGAGAGGCUUUGGUCAUGGAGUCCUCUGACUGAAAGACGGGUUGAUACUGAUGUCUGAACUGGGAAAGACCUUGCACUCAGCAUAACAUUUAUACAAGCCACAUAUAACUUUUUUGACUUGCCACCUGACUGCACAUGUCCAUAACCUGGAAUACAUCAAAUCAAUAAAAUGUUAUUUGUCACAUA